rnacentral:rRNA from 1 species
GAGAAUGUUGGCAUCAGUAGCGAGAUGUGGGUGAGAAUCCCACAGGCCGAAAACCUAAGGUUUCCUCAGGAAGGUUCGUCCGCUGAGGGUUAGUCGGGACCUAAGCCGAGGCCGAAAGGCGUAGGUGAUGGACAACUGGUUGAUAUUCCAGUACCACUACCAUCGUUAUUAUCGAUGGCGUGACGCAGGAGGAUAGUGUGUGCUAGCUAUUGGAUGCUAGUCUAAGCGUUUAGGCAGUGAGAGUAGGCAAAUCCGCUCUCAUA